rnacentral:rRNA from 1 species
GAUGAACGCUGGCGGCGUGCCUAAUACAUGCAAGUCGAGCGAACAGAUGAGGAGCUUGCUCCUCUGACGUUAGCGGCGGACGGGUGAGUAACACGUGGAUAACCUACCUAUAAUACUGGGAUAACUUCGGGAAACCGGAGCUAAUACCGGAUAAUAUAUUGAACCGCAUGGUUCAAUAGUGAAAGACGGUUUUGCUGUCACUUAUAGAUGGAUCCGCGCCGCAUUAGCUAGUUGGUAAGGUAACGGCUUACCAAGGCAACGAUGCGUAGCCGACCUGAGAGGGUGAUCGGCCACCCUGGAGCUGGAACACGGACCAGGCUCCUGCGGGAGGCAGCAGUAGGGAAUCUUCCGCAAUGGGCGAGAGCCUGACGGAACAACGCCGCGUGAGUGAUGAAGGUCUUCGGAUCGUAAAACUCUGUUAUUAGGGAAGAACAAAUGUGUAAGUAACUAUGCACGUCUUGACGGUACCUAAUCAGAAAGCCACGGCUAACUACGUG